rnacentral:sRNA from 1 species
UAUUCAGCCCCACGGUGAUUGAUUAGAAGCUUCUACCAAGGUUCGACUCGAGCGAAGCGAUAGAACGUUGCCGCAGGCAACGGCCCGAAGGGCGAGGAG